rnacentral:rRNA from 1 species
GGACGGGUGAGUAAAGCGUAGGAAUCUACCUAUAUGUAUGGGAUAGCUUGUGGAAACGCAAGGUAAUACCGUAUAAGUUACGAGUAAUAAAGGGUGCUAUUGAGAGAUAGUAUUUGCAUAUAGAUGAGCCUACGUAAGAUUAGCUAGUUGGUGGGGUAAAGGCCUACCAAGGCGACGAUCUUUAGCUGUUCUGAGAGGAAGAUCAGCCACAUUGGGACUGAGACACGGCCCAGACUCCUACGGGAGGCAGCAGUGGGGAAUAUUGGACAAUGGGCGGAAGCCUGAUCCAGCAAUACCGCGUGUGUGAAGAAGGCCUGCGGGUUGUAAAGCACUUUCGUUAGUGAAGAAGUUAUAUGAAGAUAUAAUUGACAUAAGCUAAAGAAGAAGCACCGGCUAACUCUGUGCCAGCAGCCGCGGUAAUACAGAGGGUGCAAGCGUUAAUCGAAAUUACUGGGCGUAAAGAGUGUGUAGGUGGUGGCAUAAGUCAUAGAUUAAAUCGCAUAGCUUAACUAUGUAGAAGUAGAUGAUACUGUGUAACUAGAGUACUGAAGGGGGUAGUGGAAUUUCCGGUGUANCGGUGAAAUGCGUA